rnacentral:rRNA from 1 species
UACUCGGAGUCCAAGUGAUUGCCACUAUUAUUGGGUCUAAAGCGUCCGUAGCCGGUUCCUUAAGUCCCUGGUGAAAUCUGGCAGCAAACUGUCAGGCGUGCUGGGGUUACUGAGGGGCUAGAGACCGGGAGAGGGCAUAGGUACUCGUAGGGUAGGGGUUAAAUCCUAUAAUCCUACGGGGACCACCUGUGGCGAAGGCGUAUGCCUGGAACGGGUCUGACGGUGAGGGACGAAAGCUAGGGGAGCGAUCGGG